GACGAACGCUGGCGGCGUGCCUAAUACGUGCAAGUAGAACGCUGAAGAGAGGAGCUUGCUCUUCUUGGAUGAGUUGCGAACGGGUGAGUAACGCGUAGGUAACCUGCCUUGUAGCGGGGGAUAACUAUUGGAAACGAUAGCUAAUACCGCAUAACAAUGGAUGACACAUGUCAUUUAUUUGAAAGGGGCAAUUGCUCCACUACAAGAUGGACCUGCGUUGUAUUAGCUAGUAGGUGAGGUAAUGGCUCACCUAGGCGACGAUACAUAGCCGACCUGAGAGGGUGAUCGGCCACACUGGGACUGAGACACGGCCCAGACUCCUACGGGAGGCAGCAGUAGGGAAUCUUCGGCAAUGGGGGCAACCCUGACCGAGCAACGCCGCGUGAGUGAAGAAGGUUUUCGGAUCGUAAAGCUCUGUUGUAAGUCAAGAACGGGUGUGAGAGUGGAAAGUUCACACUGUGACGGUAGCUUACCAGAAAGGGACGGCUAACUACGUG
rnacentral:rRNA from 1 species